GAUGAAGAACGCAGCGAAAUGCGAUAAGUAAUGUGAAUUGCAGAAUUCAGUGAAUCAUCGAAUCUUUGAACGCACAUUGCGCCCCCUGGUAUUCCGGGGGGCAUGCCUGUUCGAGCGUCAUUUCACCACUCAAGCCUCGCUUGGUAUUGGGCAUCGCGGUCCGCCGCGUGCCUCAAAUCGACCGGCUGGGUCUUCUGUCCCCUAAGCGUUGUGGAAACUAUUCGCUAAAGGGUGUUCGGGAGGCUACGCCGUAAAACAACCCCAUUUCUAAGGUUGACCUCGGAUCAGGUAGGGAUACCCGCUGAACUUAAGCAUAUCAAUAACGGAGGA
rnacentral:misc_RNA from 1 species